rfam:Canis lupus familiaris chromosome 18, whole genome shotgun sequence.
CGGGGGUGAGCAUAGGAUCCUGGGCUGUGUCUGCUCGAGCCCUGGGAUCCGGGGCCUGCGCUGCUGGAAUCGCGCUCCCGGCCGCAAGGCUCCCG